rnacentral:rRNA from 1 species
AGAGUUUGAUCAUGGCCUCAGAUUGAACGCUGGCGGCAUGCCUUACACAUGCAAGUCGAACGGCAGCACGGGAGCUUGCUCCUGGUGGCGAGUGGCGAACGGGUGAGUAAUAUAUCGGAAGGUACCCUAGAGUGGGGGAUAACGCAGCGAAAGUUGCGCUAAUACCGCAUACGAUCUACGGAUGAAAGUGGGGGAUCGCAAGACCUCAUGCUCAUGGAGCGGCCGAUAUCUGAUUAGCUAGUUGGUAGGGUAAAAGCCUACCAAGGCUUCGAUCAGUACCUGGUCUGAGAGGACGACCAGCCACACUGGAACUGAGACACGGUCCAGACUCCUACGGGAGGCAACAGUGGGGAAUUUUGGACAAUGGGCGCAAGCCUGAUCCAGCAAUGCCGCGUGAGUGAAGAAGGCCUUCGGGUUGUAAAGCUCUUUUGUCAGGGAAGAAACGGUGGACUCUAAUACAGAUCACUAAUGACGGUACCUGAAGAAUAAGCACCGGCUAACUACGUGCCAGCAGCCGCGGUAAUACGUAGGGUGCAAGCGUUAAUCGGAAUUACUGGGCGUAAAGCGUGCGCAGGCGGUUUGGUAAGACAGAUGUGAAAUCCCCGGGCUCAACCUGGGAAUUGCAUUUGUGACUGCCCGGCUAGAGUGUGUCAGAGGGGGGUAGAAUUCCACGUGUAGCAGUGAAAUGCGUAGAGAUGCGGAGGAAUACCGAUGGCGAAGGCAGCCCCCUGGGAUAACACUGACGCUCAUGCACGAAAGCGUGGGGAGCAAACAGGAUUAGAUACCCUGGUAGUCCACGCCCUAAACGAUGUCUACUAGUUGUUGGGUCUUAAUUGACUUAGUAACGCAGCUAACGCGUGAAGUAAACCCCCUGGGGA